GAUGAAGAACGCAGCGAAAUGCGAUAAGUAAUGUGAAUUGCAGAAUUCAGUGAAUCAUCGAAUCUUUGAACGCACAUUGCGCCCGCCAGUAUUCUGGCGGGCAUGCCUGUUCGAGCGUCAUUUCAACCCUCAAGCCCAGCUUGGUGUUGGGGAUCGGCACAGGCGCCCUCGGGCGCCCGCCGUCCCCUAAAUCUAGUGGCGGUCCCGCUGCAGCCUCCUCUGCGUAGUAGUUUUCUCCUCGCAAGGGCAGCUCGGUGGCGACCUCGCCGUAAAACCCCCAACUUCUGAAAGGUUGACCUCGAAUCAGGUAGGAAUACCCGCUGAACUUAAGCAUAUCAAUACGGAGGA
rnacentral:misc_RNA from 1 species